GACAAGCAGCCACGCGAAUAUUGAAAUAAGGUCUGAAAUGGUGCAAGAGAUCUUACAUUACAUUGCGGGCGAAUGCAGUUGCGAACCAUUAUUGGAGAUUGCACCAUUAUAUCAAAUUUUCAUAAUGAGCGCGCUCGUUUAUUUGUACGGUUGUAUAUUGCAGAGGGGUUUACGUUUGAUAUUGGAAUCCUACAAACUCUAAAAACAUGGUAAGACAGGCAUAGGCUACCCAAUAAUUUAUGUCCUUCUGAAGGAAAGAUUCGUUCGUAAUGAUUUCGUCCCAUAAUUUUCACGCUUGCUUCCUUUUAGGUGCAUUGAGGUGGCACACUAUAUAAUGCUGCUUGAAAGAAUAAACAUUUAGAUUUUAGCAAGCGCCGUCGUUUGCGCUGUUCUUCCGGCUGAAAAAGAUUCAAUUGCCCAUUUGUAGAACGGAAUGAUGUCGCAGCGUAAGCAACGACAAUAAUUUUGAAUUUAAGUGUCUUAGCGGUACCAGAGCAUAGCCUUAGCGUAACGAACCAGUUAUAUUUGUGUCAUUCAUUUGACAGCAAUGAAGAAUUUUGUGUCCCGGUGUCUCAGUGAGACGAGAGCCCUUUGACAACUUUCUUGUGAAGGGACUGUGGUACCAUUCACACACCCAAGCUUACGAUGCAUCAGAGAAACCACGCAGCGAAGCAGUGGGUAAUACUGAAAUGCCAAAGAUUUCCGCGCGCGCGGCCCGUUGCAGAGCUCUGGAUUGAUAAAUUGCGUUGCACGUUAUGAUGAAUAGUUUCACACUACUGACGUGGCAAGUAGCUAACUCAACACAUUCAGGUGUCCGCCCUGCUACUCCCAUAGUUCAACACAUAUUGUAGUUGUAGAAUUAAACUAUUCUCCGUUUCAUACAUGCUGUGGAGGCUAGCCUUACUUCUUGCAAUAGCUGCGUUCGUACCUAGAAAUAGCCCGAUGCUUUUACCAGCAAUUAGGUGGAAUUAUAUAUUUAUGCUCAGCAAUAAAUGAAAAAGCUUUAUAACAUAAUCAUGAACAAGCUGCGUAAUAGAGCAGCCAGUACGGUGCUUUAGAUGAUUCUGCGUUUCGUAGUUUUUUUCUUUUCGCGUUUCCUUCAUUUGCUAGCCGUCGUGGCACCUGAAGCGCACGCUCGCGUGAAAAAGUGUGACCACGAAUCUUCACCACGAAAUGCGCGGAAUAACAAAUUUUGAUUGCCGUAAUUCGUAGCUUGCUUUCCAUUGCGGGCGAGCGGGGGCACUCAAGAGCGUCCCCAAGAUGCUCCUUCCAGAGCACCGGCGUUACAAUGAACGAACAGGAGCCGGAGCGCCCUGGUAAAAUGGCCGAACGGGAGCAGUUUGGUGACGCCGAGGGUGAUGCGCAAUAAGAGGGGUGCGAAGGAAUUCACGUGACGCAAAUGCACCAUAUCCUUUUUCCUGGCCGUGUUUCCUUCGUUUUGGUUCACUGUGCGGCAGAAACUGCAUAAUCACAGCGCAAAGGUAAUAAAUCUGGUCACGUGAUACACAUUUGCCUUCGUUUCAACGGGAGGGCACGCAGUCGCAAUCCCGCUGCGCUGCUGCUCGGCUCUGCCAUUUGCCUCUGCUCCUGUUCUGCCAAUAGAGCAGUUCAUUAGUAUAAACGGAGACGAGAUAUGAAGGGAGAUAUGAAGAAUAAAGAACCAGCACGAAACAAGCAUUCAAACCACAUAAUUCAUGAUAAGGCGCGCCUUCAGUAAUGCGAAGGACGUAGCGCUCCCACCAUACGUUUCCCGGUGAAGAUUAUCCUUGCGCAAGCUGCCACGGCAACGGCAGCUUCCGAAACGAAACAGUCAAUUCUUGGAGCUCCUUAUUUUAUUUGAACUAGCACCGAAAAACAUUCAUUGAUAAAAAAAGCACGGACACGACUAAAAAUAGUUAAUGCAUCAUUGCACAAGUCAUACAACAAAUGCAAAAAUUUACGUAGUGUUUCCACAAGAGCACUGUGUCAAACGUGUGACGUACAUUGCCACUCUCCAUGGCAAGUCACUGAUCUUAAAAAGAAGCAGAAGAGAAUAAAAAUCAUGCUACAUGGGUCUUGCGUCCGCGAAAGCAUUCUCAAAAGGACCCACAAUGACUAUAAUACUGGUGGCAAGAAAUAUAAAACAAUAAGAUAAAGUUCGUUGCGCCGCGACAAGGUGAAUGCAGCGCACGAGCAAAUAUGGAAAAUAAAGAAGAUACCUUGCGUAUAUGCCCUAGGGUGUGCAUAAAGGGAACACACAGAUCUUGUAGUUAUCAAUCGCGAAAGCUGCGCAUAAAUUACGUUGCAAUGGCUGCUGCACAAUGGAACCUUCCACUCAACAUGCAUUUGCGUCAUGAUGCGCGUAAAAGUUAUAUCAGGCAACUAGGUACGGCCAAAGAUUUUCAGGGUUUCACACAGUGCAGCGGUAAACAAAGCACACGACAUUACUGAUGCAAGCGCUUUGUGACACGUCGUCCUUUCAAAGAACAGGGUCGACUUUUCAUCUAGUACGCGCUGCUCAUACUUUCCGCGCCAGACGCGCAGGUAAAAAUGUUGCCCUUGCACUUCACACGAAUUUCGAAAGCCUGCCCUCGAUGCUAAGCGCGGUACCGUUUAAGUUAGACGAGACAAUCGCGAAGCCUGCCUAAGCUGCCCUUGACUCGGCCAACGUAUAGGACAUCGCCUGCUGAAUGGGAUGGCACCGUCUGUAUAACUACGGUCUCACACUUGAGUGAUGUGCCGGCGUCUCACGUCACAGAGCUUUAGGCUUUUUUCGGAGCGUCGGAGUUGCUUGUAGCGCCGUCAGGCAGGAAACCAGUGUCGCCAUCUCCGCACGUGCUCUCGCUGUGGCUGCUGGAAGGAUUGACCGUACUGAAAGACUAGGCUUCGGUCGAAUCCUCUACAAUAGUCUCCAACGCCGGUUCCAGAGAGACGAAUCUACGCGGUGACAUCGAAUGAUUUCGUCGAGACAUUCUAGCUCGUCGCCGUAACUGGCGAUGACCGCCCGAGCUGUACAGGUAGGGUCGUUGCGGUGAUCGUGCGAGUGGUACGGGCUGUGCUUGUUGCUGCAUGGGUCUCGCAGUGGACGUAGAUGGUCGCUGCAGCGACUCGGACAGCUCUUGUUCCGGUGAUGCAGGCUGCGUCGGCGAAGGGGCCGAACUCGAGCUGGAACCGCCAGGUUGUUGCAAUGGCACCGAAAUUCUUCGCCGACACAGUUGCGGCGGCAGCGGAAGAGGGGGAUCACUAUCACAGGACGAUGUCUCGUAGUCGAGCCUGCUCGUGUCUGGCGCGAAUAUCAGCGACAACAGCUCGUUGCUGUCGCUUUGCAUUUUCCUGGACUUGCAUAGCGAGCAAAGACAACCCAUGGUUUUUGGUUUCUCAGGCACUGUCGUGGAAUAAUCUGGAAAACUUGAGGACGAAAGUUUGCAGUACCAUCCGUCACUGUGGUAGAUGUUGCCUAGUGGUCCCUGUUGCUAUCCUGCGUUGUGAAUUUUGACUGAAGAUUCUUGCACAACACAGGAAGGUGCUUCGUCCGCUGAUUAUGCCUACCGCUCUACGGGCUCACUCAAAGCAUGACGACGGCCGGCCGCAGUGCGCAACGCCUACAAAUACUCUUGGCACUUAGGAAGCAAGAAGUUGCUGCUUUACGAGCUGGGCUCAGUGGUCUAGUGAUGUUCCAGAGCGUGACACACUUAAUUUGUCAACGCCUCCUAGAUAACUACAAAUCGCGCGCAUCAGGUCACGUGGCUUUAUUAUGCAGGGUCUUGAUGUCAUCAUGUAACCGACGAUAGGGAAAAAAGGUGAGUCAGCAGCGGUUGACAUGGAAGAAAAACAGGGUAUUCUGGGGUGCAUUAGUGAUGUACUCUGUGGUUUGUUUAGACUGUACUACCUUCGACAUCGACCUAGAUGGCUAGUCUGCACUGCAUCCGCGAUCGCGCAGAAAUUGAGCGGAGCUGACGGACCGCAGGCAGUGUUCCGUUUGGUUGCUACGGUCUUGCUGGUCACAAAGGCAACGAGCGGCAGAUUCUGAAGCGAAGAUUUCGGAGCACAACCUUUGCAGGUGCGGAAGGCGUGUACCUUUGAGGAAGAGACACCACGGCCACUGCAGUUUUCUUCGCAUCUCCCGCAGAAGCGGCCAGGACUUCAAAAGCAUGGGCUGCUUCCAUUCGUGCUGCUUAUCCGAGGAAACUGAACCGCAACGUCCUUUGUUGGCAGGUUCCGACCCCAGCUGCAGCGGGUUCGAAUCGGUCGUUCACAGCAUCAGCGACAUGAACGAACGUGUUCAGGAACCGCCAGAAGUAACCACAAGACAGAUGUCGGUGACCUUCACCGAAGGCACAGACACCGCUGCCAUGGGCAUUGACCACGGAGGAAGCAGGGUUCGUGCUUGGUCGUACGGAGGAUCCCGCGGCCUCUACAGCUUGGCGUCCAGCGCCACUAGCACCCUGACCAUUGGCUCAAAGCACGGUUGCAGCACGGACACGCUGACCGAGGAUGACGGCGUCGGCGUGGCUCAACGCCAGACAUCAGUGCAUGAAUGAACUGUUCGUGGACGAAUCUUCCAAUGUCUUCCGAACUGAACGUUUGUUCGUCCUAUCGCUCCCUACUAACCUCGUUAAGUUCACCAGCAAAUUACCUCAUUUCAUCUGCAGUGCAGAAGAAAUGACUGUUUUUCAUCGGAAAUUAAGUGUUUCGCAAGAAUACGUAAAUACUGAUGCCGGAAGACCGGUGACAUGAAAACCACCAGCGCUUAUCCGCAAGUUCUCGUGACAUACGCCAUACGUGGAAUACGUAUGGCGUAUACGUGACAUGACAUACGUGGAAUAAAGCUUUGCUUUUAACAUUUUA